rnacentral:rRNA from 1 species
CUAAUACCGGAUACUGACCCGCUUGGGCAUCCAAGCGGUUCGAAAGCUCCGGCGGUGCAGGAUGAGCCCGCGGCCUAUCAGCUUGUUGGUGAGGUAAUGGCUCACCAAGGCGACGACGGGUAGCCGGCCUGAGAGGGCGACCGGCCACACUGGGACUGAGACACGGCCCAGACUCCUACGGGAGGCAGCAGUGGGGAAUAUUGCACAAUGGGCGAAAGCCUGAUGCAGCGACGCCGCGUGAGGGAUGACGGCCUUCGGGUUGUAAACCUCUUUCAGCAGGGAAGAAGCGAAAGUGACGGUACCUGCAGAAGAAGCGCCGGCUAACUACGUGCCAGCAGCCGCGGUAAUACGUAGGGCGCGAGCGUUGUCCGGAAUUAUUGGGCGUAAAGAGCUCGUAGGCGGCUUGUCACGUCGGUUGUGAAAGCCCGGGGCUUAACCCCGGGUCUGCAGUCGAUACGGGCAGGCUAGAGUUCGGUAGGGG